AACGGUAACAGAAAAUAGCUUGCUAUUUUGCUGACGAGUGGCGGACGGGUGAGUAAUGCUUGGGAAUAUGCCUUAUGGUGGGGGACAACAGUUGGAAACGACUGCUAAUACCGCAUAAUAUCUUCGGAUCAAAGUGGGGGACCUUCGGGCCUCACGCCAUGAGAGUAGCCCAAGUGGGAUUAGCUAGUUGGUAAGGUAAUGGCUUACCAAGGCGACGAUCCCUAGCUGGUCUUAGAGGAUGACCAGCCACACUGGAACUGAGACACGGUCCAGACUCCUACGGGAGGCAGCAGUGGGGAAUAUUGCACAAUGGAGGAAACUCUGAUGCAGCCAUGCCGCGUGUGUGAAGAAGGCUUUCGGGUUGUAAAGCACUUUCAGUGGGGAGGAAAGGUUAUUGUUUAAUAGACAAUAGCUGUGACGUUACCCACAGAAGAAGCACCGGCUAACUUCGUGCCAGCAGCCGCGGUAAUACGAGGGGUGCAAGCGUUAAUCGGAAUUACUGGGCGUAAAGCGUACGCAGGCGGUUUGUUAAGCGAGAUGUGAAAGCCCCGGGCUCAACCUGGGAACUGCAUUUCGAACUGGCCAACUAGAGUAUGAGAGAGGGUGGUAGAAUUUCAGGUGUAGCGGUGAAAUGCGUAGAGAUCUGAAGGAAUACCGAUGGCGAAGGCAGCCACCUGGUUCAAUACUGACGCUCAUGUACGAAAGCGUGGGGAGCAAACAGGAUUAGAUACCCUGGUAGUCCACGCCGUAAACGAUGUCUACUAGCAGCUCGGUUCGUUAGAACGGUUUUGCGCAGCUAACGCGUUAAGUAGACCGCCUGGGGAGUACGGCCGCAAGGUUAAAACUCAAAUGAAUUGACGGGGGCCCGCACAAGCGGUGGAGCAUGUGGUUUAAUUCGAUCAACGCGAAGAACCUUACCUACACUUGACAUACAGAGACUUACCAGAGAUGGUUUGCUGCUUCGGGACUCUGAUACAGUGCUGCAUGCUGUCGUCAGCUCGUGUGUGAGAUGUGGGUAAGUCCCGCACGAGCGCACCCCUAUCCUUAGUUGCAGCGAUUCGGUCGGAACUCUAAGAAGACUGCCGGUGAUAACCGCAGAAGGUGGGGACAACGUCAGUCAUCUAUGGGCCCUUAUUGGUAGGGGCUACCACACGUGCUUCAUUGGGCGCAUACAAGAGGGGGGUGCGGACACUUGCUCAGUUAAACAAAAACACACUUAUUAAAGUGGGGGCGCCGAAAAUACG
rnacentral:rRNA from 1 species